rnacentral:rRNA from 1 species
GAGAGUCCGGUUAGUCGGAUACGAGCGCACCUUACCUUAUUUGCCAGCGAUUCGGUCGGGAACUAUAAGGGGACUGCCGGUGAUAAACCGGAGGAAGGUGAGGACGACGUCAAGUCAUCAUGGCCCUUACGCAUAGGGCUACACACGUGCUACAAUGGAGAAUACAGACGGACGCUAAGCCGCGAGGUGGUGCCAAUCCUAGAAAAUUCUUCGUAGUCCGGAUUGGAGUCUGCAACUCGACUCCAUGAAGUCGGAAUCGCUAGUAAUCGCGAAUCAGCAUGUCGCGGUGAAUACGUUCUCGGGUCUUGUACACACCGCCCGUCACACCAUGGGAGUUGGUUCUACCUUAAGGCAAGGUUUUAAACCCUUGACCACGGUAUAGUCAGCGACUGGGGUGAAGUCGUAACAAGGUAGCCGUAGGGGAACCUGCGGCUGGAUUACCUCCUUUCU